UGCCAUGCCUAAUACAUGCAAGUCGAGCGACAGAGAGAGCUUGCUCCUUUGACGUUAGCGGCGGACGGGUGAGUAACACGUGGGCAACCUACCUUAUAGUUUGGGAUAACUCCGGGAAACCGGGGCUAAUACCGAAUAAUCUAUUUUACUUCAUGGUGAAAUACUGAAAGACGGUUUCGGCUGUCGCUAUAAGAUGGGCCCGCGGCGCAUUAGCUAGUUGGUGAGGUAACGGCUCACCAAGGCGACGCAUGCGUAGCCGACCUGAGAGGGUGAUCGGCCACACUGGGACUGAACACCGGCCAACUCC
rnacentral:rRNA from 1 species